UGGGGAAUUUUGGACAAUGGACGCAAGUCUGAUCCAGCCAUGCCGCGUGCGGGAAGAAGGCCUUCGGGUUGUAAACCGCUUUUGUCAGGGAAGAAACGAGUUUCUCUAAUACAGAGACUUAAUGACGGUACCUGAGGAAUAAGCACCGGCUAACUACGUGCCAGCAGCCGCGGUAAUACAGAGGGUGCAAGCGUUAAUCGGAAUUACUGGGCGUAAAGCGCGCGUAGGUGGUUUGUUAAGUUGGAUGUGAAAGCCCCGGGCUCAACCUGGGAACUGCAUCCAAAACUGGCAAGCUAGAGUAUGGUAGAGGGGGAUGGAAUUCCGCGUGUAGCAGUGAAAUGCGUAGAUAUGCGGAGGAACACCGAUGGCGAAGGCAAUCCCCUGGACCUGUACUGACGCUCAUGCACGAAAGCGAGGGGAGCAAACA
rnacentral:rRNA from 1 species